rnacentral:snRNA from 1 species
CGCCAGCUUCAGCAGCACUACACUAAAAUUGGAACAAUACCAAGGUUAGUAUGGCCCCUGCGCAAGAAUGACAACAAAUUUGAGAAGUAUUCCAUAUUUUU